CCCCAGCGCCACAAGUGGUUAUCACGAUUAUUGGGCCUAAAGCGUUCGUAGCUGGUUUGGUAAAUCUCUUGUGAAAUUGUUCGGCUUAACCGGACAGCGUGCAGGAGAGACUGCCAGACUCGAGACCGGGAGGGGUUAGAAGUAUUCCAUGGGGACUGGUAAAAUGGGAUAAUCCAUGGAAGACUACCGAUGGCGAAGGCAUCUAACCAGAACGGAUCUGACAGUGAGGAACGAAAGCCAGGGGAGCGAACCGG
rnacentral:rRNA from 2 species